CUGACGUGUUCAUGGGGUGUAAACAACAAUCCUGCAGGAAUCUGCAACAUGCACCGAAAAUUAAAGCAUUUCGUUGCCGAUAAUAAAGCUAUUUUAUGCUCGCGGGCAUGGAGAACUGGAGUCUUGUAUCCCUUUGUGUUUUGCUCGGUUUUACGGCGAGAUGGGCUGUAAUCCUUGAACUCGUAUUCAGGGGCUGGCAAACCCCCUAUGUAAGGGGCGAAACUCAACGGCACUGGCAAGAAGUGACAUAUAAUCUGCCUGUUUAUGAAUGAGCCAAGCGGAUAAACCCAGAGUGGGUGGAACUGCACACGUCUCAAGGUUAUGAAAGCUUAGCCCAUAAGAUGUUUACGAGAACCACAGCUAAGACAACUGAAGGACAGUUCCUGUUGCAGAUCUGCUGAUAUAUGUUCCUGCUGUUGUGCUUUACAUUUUUUUUUUCUUUUUUUUUUUACCUCAGUGAAGGAUCAAACAAGAGAAGGUUGUUCCUGCUAGUAAAGAUCGAUGUAACAGUCCUGGUGACGUUUGCUGGCUGCCAUUCCUGUCUGACCCCAGCCAGGCCCUGUACUGCCUCUUUCCUGUGGAGUGGGGCCUCUUCGAGGAUCAAGUGGCCAACACAUGGGUGCAGCUUGAACGGCCUGAUAAAGAUCAAGACCAUCCUGUCCACUGAUACCCAGCUCUACCUCGGUUUGGCCACCACUCUCCUGGCUAUCCUACCUAUGUCAAUCAAACUAUUGGUGAACCCUACUCUAUGGCAGUUCAAACUUCCCUUGGUAAACCAAGUAUGCCUACUACUGAAUGACCUCCCUCUGCCAGCCAUCUGUUUUUUACAGGUCUCCCUGUUCACUAUGCUGCCAUUGUUACUGAAGGAUGGUCUGUUGGUGCCGUACGUGGUCACCUCCCUGGCCUUCCUGUUCGUCAGCGUAUACCUGCUUUUCCACCCUUGGAGCAUUGCUCAGAAGACGAGCUGCGUCUGGGGCCCUACCACCGCCCCAUCCGUAUGCCCAGCAUGGACCUCGGAAGGGUCACCAAGUGGAAAUUCUACAUCUCCAUCGUGGCCAUGGCUGGUUUGUGCUUUAUGAGCAUGGCGCUGGCCCCUCUGGCCAGGCUGCCUGAUUUGUUUCCCCUCCUGGUGUCAGUGUUCUUUUCCACCACUUCCUGGGCCUCCUCUUCUACUUCAACCUUGUCCAGAUUGCCGAGCCGCCUCCACCUGGGAGUAAGAAUCAGAGUAGUCGCUACCCGGUAGAAAGAAAACUUACUGAAAAGCAAACUAUGCACAGUGCCUCAGUCACUGACCACCAAGGACCAAUAGGACUCGUGGAGAAAUGCUACUAGUCUAUAAUCUUUAUUCUAGGGAUAACCCUCCUGUCAACAUGAGUGGUUGGUGUUUUGUCAAUGCCUAAUUAUGUACAUCAAACUUACAUUUUUUAUGUUGUUUUUUUUAACUUUAAUUGUUUUUCAAUAUUUCCAAAUGUUUGUUCCAUCAUUACAAUUAUUUUGUACAAAUUGUAUUUUUCUUGAAAAAUAAAAUCACCUCAUAUGAC